UACGAAGGGGGCUAGCGUUGCUCGGAAUCACUGGGCGUAAAGCGCACGUAGGUGGGUCGUUAAGUCGGGGGUGAAAUCCUGGAGCUCAACUCCAGAACUGCCUUCGAUACUGGAAGACUUGAGUCCGGGAGAGGUGAGUGGAACUGCGAGUGUAGAGGUGAAAUUCGUAGAUAUUCGCAAGAACACCGGUGGCGAAGGCGGCCCGCUGGGCAACUGCUGACACUGAGGCGCGACAGCGUGGGGAGCAAACAGG
rnacentral:rRNA from 1 species